rnacentral:sRNA from 12 species
UUUUAGGGAUAUCGGGCACGGGGUUCUCCUCCUCCGACUGUUCUCCUUCACAGUACGUGAUCCUGCGUGCCGCACGGCGGUAUCCCGCUUCGUGUGCAAAAAAGCUCGUC